rnacentral:rRNA from 1 species
AAAGAUUUCUUCGGAAUGAAUUUGAUUUAGUUUAGUGGCGGACGGGUGAGUAACGCGUGAGUAACCUGCCUUCAAGAGGGGGAUAACAUUCUGAAAAGAAUGCUAAUACCGCAUGAUAUAUCGGAACCACAUGGUUCUGAUAUCAAAGAUUUUAUCGCUUGAAGAUGGACUCGCGCCCGAUUAGUUAGUUGGUGAGGUAACGGCUCACCAAGACCGCGAUCGGUAGCCGGACUGAGAGGUUGAACGGCCACAUUGGGACUGAGACACGGCCCAGACUCCUACGGGAGGCAGCAGUGGGGGAUAUUGCGCAAUGGGGGCAACCCUGACGCAGCGACGCCGCGUGAAGGAUGAAGGUUUUCGGAUUGUAAACUUCUUUUAUUAAGGACGAAACUUGACGGUACUUAAUGAAUAAGCUCCGGCUAACUACGUGCCAGCAGCCGCGGUAAUACGUAGGGAGCAAGCGUUGUCCGGAUUUACUGGGUGUAAAGGGUGCGUAGGCGGCUUUGCAAGUCAGAUGUGAAAUCUAUGGGCUCAACCCAUAAACUGCAUUUGAAACUGUAGAGCUUGAGUGAAGUAGAGGCAGGCGGAAUUCCCCGUGUAGCGGUGAAAUGCGUAGAGAUGGGGAGGAACACCAGUGGCGAAGGCGGCCUGCUGGGC